rnacentral:rRNA from 1 species
GGGCCCGCACAAGCGGUGGAGCAUGUGGUUUAAUUCGACGCAACGCGAAGAACCUUACCCAGGCUUGAACUGCAGGUGACACUCUACGAAAGUAGACUUCCGCAAGGACGCCUGUAGAGGUGCUGCAUGGCUGUCGUCAGCUCGUGUCGUGAGAUGUUGGGUUAAGUCCCGCAACGAGCGCAACCCUUGUCUUCUGUUGCCAUCGGGUUAUGCCGGGCACUCUGAAGAGACUGCCGGUGACAAACCGGAGGAAGGUGGGGAUGACGUCAAGUCAGCAUGGCCUUUAUGUCUGGGGCCACACACGUGCUACAAUGGCCGGUACAAACCGUCGCGAGCCCGCAAGGGGGAGCUAAUCGGAGAAAGCCGGUCUCAGUUCGGAUUGUAGGCUGCAACUCGCCUGCAUGAAGUUGGAAUCGCUAGUAAUCGCGGAUCAGCACGCCGCGGUGAAUACGUUCCCGGGCCUU